rnacentral:lncRNA from 1 species
AACGUAAAGAAGCCAAAUUUGACCGCGCAGCGGCGGCCGGGAGCCGCGGGGAGGCCGCGAGCGGAGAGGCCUGGUGAGAGGAGAGCUCGGCCCGGACACACAGCGGCGCUGAGGGGAGAGAGGCCGAGCCUGGGCCGUUCCCGGGAGGAGGCUGCGGAGACGAGCGGGAGGGCUGCGGUUCGUGGCGGUGGAGCCGUUUGGUGGCGCGGAGGCCUCCACCCGGAGGUGCGCGGGGCCGGGACCCCGCCUCAGGCCGGCCAUGGCCGCCUCGACCCCGCGACGCCGCCCGCCUCAGGCCGCCUCAGGCCGCCGAGACCCUACAGCGGAAGGGGCGGGUUUCCCCUCCUGAGUGACAAGAGGGACGGCCAAUCAGAGGGCGGGGCUCGCUGUGUGGCGGGCGGUUGCCACGGCAACGGCAGGAGACGGCGGCAGGAUUUUGAGAUGUUACACCAAGCAACUGCAAAUGAAGAUGUCUCCAAGUUCCCAGAGAUGCCUUCAAUAGACAAACCUGGGAGAGGAAGGAAUUACUGUAGAAAGGACCCAUUUUGACACUUGAUAGUUGAUGAACGCGACACACCACAGAUAGAUAUACAUAUAUAUUGCAUGUUCGGAACACUCAGGGUACACUGCUCACCCCCUGGCAGUAGAGAGGGAUUCCUCCUUGAUUAUCUUCCAGAAUCCUUUCUGCAUUUCCCAGAGUUUCUCGAAAAGUCCACCAAUACAGUUCAAAAUCGUUAAUAGUAAAACUUUGCAAUCUAAAAUAUUCUACCAAGGUGACACAACAUGGACAAAUCGCAGAAUACAGCUGUGGGAAACUCAAUAAUUAAGAUCAUUACUCAGUAAUUGUUUAUUUAGUAGAGUGAGAUUAUUUUGCGUAGGGAGUGCUGCCGGACCCAUUCCGGUGGGCUUCACACAUCAGGGUUUUUCUAAUCCAUUUUUUGUAAUCCAUUUCCAUAACAAGCACAGAUCUCUGGGGAAAAGGGGGGGAAAAGGAAUGUGGAAGAAAUGUAGUUCCAGAACUGGGCUUGGAAAUGGGUGACGUGGGUAUAAGCAACGAGUAAGUGUUCAUUUUCCCUUUACACCUUGAAUCUGCUCUGUAUCGGAGGGGAAAUGUGAACACAAAACCCUUCUCUCCAGGCAGUAUCACACACGCUUUCCCACGUUGUAUUUACAUCACAAAAAAAACCCAAACCAAACCUGAAAAAGCAAAACUGGCAAAAGAGGAAAGAACUACGUCAGGAAAACACAAAGCCAGGAAACUUUAAUGGCUUGUUCCCAGGUAAUGAGUUGUCUCGGUUUCUUUUUAAAUUGGCUAUUAAAAUUCUCUUACCAUAACGGGGAAAACACCGGAGAGAUGAGGUCUCGUAAAACUCUUUAACACAGGUUACUGAUCAGUCUGAAUCUAGUACAUUAAUGGACUUAAAUUAGUCCUUUGAAAAAAUUUUAAUUACCUUGUUCUUGGUACGUCUCAUUUCUUGCAUUUCUCAAUUUGCAGGCCUGAGUGCAAGGGACAGGCUAAUGCCUUUUUCUCAUGUCAAAAAAAAAAAGAAAAAGAAAAAAAUAGAAAACUGAGAGGCAGAAAAGAGAUAUAUAUUUUUUUUUUCUAUAUAUAAACACACAGAGAGUCUCUUACCAGUAACUGAGCUGCUCAGGAGCCACUCCUUUACUCACCCCCUCCUGCUGACUCCACUGUGCACACCUCACAUUUAUAGUGUGAGCCAUUUCUGGUAUUUGAAAUACUUGCAAUAUGAGCUGAACGAUAUAAUCAGACUUUUCCAUGACAUAUGGAUUAAGAAUAUUAAAUAAGAAAUUAAUAAAAUCCCACAUGGAUUGGUAGAAAAAUUUAUU